GAACUGCCUGCCUCCAGAGGGAAUCUCCAACUGCCUCUGGAUGAUACUUGAUACUUUUAUGAACAAACACAAGAUUAACCUGUCCAAGCUGCACUGCUGUUACAGUGGCUGUGUUCACAUCCAGCUGAGCCACUGGAAGAUGGUCAGACCCACCAGCUGCAAUGAUUUGAUCACGCAGUUCAAGCUCAUAAUGUUCAAGAGGUUCCAACCAGAAGAUAAAUAUCAUGGGAGGGUACAAGAAAUACAUUCUCCAGAACCAGCAGACGUACCAGAGCAGCAGAUAUUUUCUAAUGAAGGAAGAAUAAAAAAG